rnacentral:lncRNA from 1 species
GUAAAAGUAGAUAAGGCCUUCAGUGCUCUGAAUUCUUGAUUCUUUUGUUCCUUUCUUUCUCUCUUCCUUUUCUCCUCGGGAAAUUAAUGGAAUACGGUGGGCUCAUUUUCUGGUCUCUAGUCUUUCUUCCUCCCUUUUUUUUCAUUUAUUCAUGGACACAUAGACUACAACCUAGAGAAUGGUAAAGAGCCAGGAAACCCCAAAAUAAUCACAGCUGGGAUCCGUAAAGUCCCCUCCCUCUGAUUCAGGGAGAAACAUGCAAAUAGCCGACGUGCUGCUCCAGCAUUUCUGUUCCAUCAUCUGCAAUGUGUGAUAAAGAGCUGUUUAGGAACUAACAUGGUCCUGCCUCCUUACCCUUCAUGACAAUUUCACUAAUUAUUUUUUGAGAAUGCUUCCAUC